GAUUAACGCUAGCGGCAGGCAUAAUACAUGCAAGUUGAACGGCAGCACAGGUAGCAAUACUGGGUGGCGAGUGGCGCACGGGUGCGUAACACGUAUGCAACCUACCCUAUACAGGCGAAUAACCUUUAGGAAUGAGGGCUAAUACGCCGUAGUAUUACAGAUGGGCAUCUAUUUGUAAUUAAAGAUUUAUCGGUAUAGGAUGGGCAUGCGUCCCAUUAGUUAGUUGGUAAGGUAACGGCUUACCAAGACGAUGAUGGGUAGGGGAUCUGAGAGGACUUACCCCCACACUGGUACUGAGACACGGACCAGACUCCUACGGGAGGCAGCAGUAAGGAAUAUUGGGCAAUGGCCGCGAGGCUGACCCAGCCAUGCCGCGUGCAGGAAGACGGCCUUAUGGGUUGUAAACUGCUUUUAUACGGGAAUAAUAGAGUGUACGCGUACAUUUAUGCAAGUAUCGUAUGAAUAAGCAUCGGCUAACUCCGUG
rnacentral:rRNA from 1 species